UAAAGUAAAUUUUACUAAAUGGGAUUGAAGAAUUUGGUAUAAUGCCCUUAACCAUGGUGCUAGCUAUUUUCCAGUUCUUCCUCCAUUUCACAUUUACCCUCUACCUUUCUCUCUAUUUUGUACUAGAGGAGACUCACCCCAUAGACUCUCUCUCCCAGGCUCCUUGCUGGGUGGCUUCAGGUUGGGUUUGGCUGGAGGCUAGAAGUCAGGAAAAGAAAAAGAGGUUGGAGGUUCCUUCCCUGCUUCUCUGCUUUGACCACGUUUCUGUUAGAAGCCAUGUUCCAUCAGGGACAUAGCAGUGUUUGGUGAUACUUCCCACAACUCCAAUAACUCUUCAGCCUGAAAUAACAACAGCUUCCUCUGGCCACCUCAACAUUUUCUUUGUUAGUUCUCUCAACUUUACCCACACAUGUCCUGGUAGGAAAGAAUGGUGUGGUUUCCUGAUUGAUACAGACAAAUUCCUAGAGCAAUGCCUUAUUUCAAAAGCUUCCUUCUCAAAAGAAAGUCAGAGCAUAACAAUUGCCCUCAGCCACUUUUCAAUAAAAAUGCUUCUGCAAGAGAUGAGAAAUUAUUGUUCAGGUAUACAAUAACAGUCUAGAACAGUGCUAUCCAAUAGAACUUUCUGAAAUGAUGGAAAUAAACUAUUUGAAUUUAUGGUUCAAAAAUAAGCAUAGUCCCUGCUGAUCAAAGCCUAUAGUCAGUAGAGGGUUAAGCAAAGGCCAUUAAUAACUAUAAUAAAAAUGAUACAAAGUCCAAAAGAGGAAAAGUUCAUACCAAAUCACAGGUAUUAAGGAAACCUUCACAGAUGAUUUUUGAAUUUAAGAUAAGACUGGAUAACUUAAUAGAUUUUAUAUUAGAUUUCUAGAUCUACUAAGGAUCACAUGCUUAGUGGCUUAAAAACAACACAAAUUUAUUGUCUUACAGUUUUGGAGGUUAGAAGAGCAACAUGGGUCUCCCUAGGCUAAAUCAAGGUGGCAGCAGGACUACAUUUCUUUCUGGCCUUCUUCACCCAUCUUCAAAGCCAGUAAUAUAGCAUCUCUUUUUAUAUCCCUCUGACCACAACUAGGAAAGGUUCUCUGUCAUUACAUCAGCCCACCUGUCUAACCAACAAUAAUCUCUCCAUCUCAAGAUCUUUAAGUAAUCACAUCUCCAAAGUCCUUUUUGUCAUGUAAGGUAACAUAGUAACAGGUUUCAGCGAUUAGGAUGUAGGCAUGGCUGGGGGCCCUUAUUCUGCCUACCAAAGACUAUCCACAGCAAGAAGAAGAAGAUGAAAAGAAAGGGAUUCCAGGAGGAGUUAAAGGUCAAGAGCAAAACAGGCCAACAGGAAAUGACAGGAUAAUCACUACAAUCUGUUAACCAGCUCACCCAAUUAGCCUGUGUUCUCUAUUCCCUAAGCCCUAUUGUAAUGCAUGCUGACUACUCAGGGCUGAUAGGCUGCUCCAGGAUACCUGCCUACAUGUACUUCCCCCAGAUGCACUGUAUGCUUACCAAGAGCCAGCUGUGUUUCUUGCUAAACCUAUUUAGGCUAUAUUUGAUACUGUCACACAUAAUUUAAUUAACUACUAUGUAAAUCAAUAUGAAUAUGAAAAGACAAUUUUUAUCAUGCAAAUGAAGUUGAAUGCUUUGGAAGAACUCUUUUAAGGUACUAAAAUUUUUUGCUAGGAAUUUAGGUGUAAUCAAGACAACUGCAAGGAUUUUGGAGAAAACAGUUAAAAAUCCAAAAGUAUCCAUAAUCAGAUUUUUAAAAUAUGUUUAAUGUAUACUGUGUAUGUAUACUAAUAUACACUAUAUUAUGGGUUAGGUUUAUGCAAUAAAUGUUAUGAAGAACUUCAGCCAGAUGAUCCUUUACUUAUAAGGAUAUUUAUAAGUAAAUAAAUAUCCUUAUCCCUUCCUCAUAUGAAUGUUCAGUAUAUCUUUUAAAUUUAAACACAUUUAAAGGUGUAUACAAGUUUUACACAUUUUUAUAAUUUCCUUCUUUCCGUGACUCUUUUCAAUGAAUUGGUCAACUAAGUAUGUUAUAAAAGAGGGUUUCUGGUGUAUUUUAAAAACAGAGAUGGUAUAAUUGCAGAUGGGAGAGAGCAGAAGGAAAAUAUACCAUUGAUAGAGGCUGUUGUCAUCGAAAAGGAUGUCCAGUGUCAUAGUGAGGGAAUUUGGACAUUGCAAUAGACAAUAAGGAAAUAGUUAAAGGUUGUUGUGUGUGUUAUUUGAUAGUAAAGCUUUUUGAGCAUAUCAAGGACAUGCUAAGAUCCACCCUCUGUGAAAUUAAUCUGGUAGCUAGUAGGCUUACUGCUUCCAGUCCCCAUAGUCCAAGUCAUUCUUGCCAUAAGAAAGGCUAUUGAGCUCCCACCCACAAGCUGAAUCUUGCCUCUAGACCUGUACUGUCCAAUGUGGUGCCACUAGCCACAUAUGGCUAUUGAGCACUUAAAUAUGGCUAGCUUGAAUUGAAAUGUGCUAUAAAUGUAAAAUAAACCCAUAUUUCAAAGACUUAGUACAAGAAAAAGUUUUCUCAUUAAUAGUGUUCUAUUGAUUUGUAAUCGAUAAAUCAAUGUUGAACAGUAAUAUUUAGUAUAUAUUGAGUUAAAUAAGGUAUAUUAUUAAAAGCAAUUUCACUUGUUUCUUUUUACCUUUUUAAUGUGACUGUUAGAAAAUUUAAAACUAUAUACAUAGUUCAUACUUGAGGCUCACAUUUUAUUUUUCUUCUGGACAGCAGUGCUCUAGUCUAGAUCAAGCUUGGCAUGAGAUACAAGGGUUAAGCCACCCUGAUCCCAGCCUGAUGCUUUAGGAAUCACAUUCCUCUUAAUAGAUAUCUGAUUUUAAAUAGGGCUUCUUCGUCACAUUCUUCUUUCUCCACCUUGGGACAUGGUCUGGAGUCCUUGAUUUCCACCUUACAAUGUUUAAGUCUCAGAUUGCUGGCUCCUUAGAGAUUUGUCUUCCCUCUCAUUUUCCAUCAUUCCCAAACCCAAGUUUCCUCCUCCUGGUUAUAGUUUGCUUCCUCUGGAGAAGCAGAAACUUCCAAGAGAAUGGAGAUCACGAGUAGGGCAUUGGAUUUGGUAAUUAGGGAAUCCUUACUGGCCUUCUAGAGAAUGACUGAAUGAGCUGUUUGAGCUGUUUGAGUGUUUUGAGUAGUUGUUAGGAUUGCCACAUCAAUGAUCUCAUGGGCAUAAAAGCCAGAACACAAUGGCACCUAUUUCAAUGGCAUAACAAUGAUGACAAAAGCACUUGCGCAUCACUGACCCAGUCUUCGUCUGCUGGUGUAACCAAGACUUCAAGAAUGGAGGGCCUCCCCUCUGUCAUUUAUUAUUCUGAAGUAGAAUGUUACCAAGUGUACACUUUUGUAAAAGCACCCAGCUAGACAGUUAGGGAUCACAAUAAGGUUAUAAAGAAAAGAAAUAACUUUGCGGCCCUAGGACCGUAUUCAGAAGUAAGAAAGACACCCUUGCAAAUCACUUCACCCUCAUGCAGACAAAGCUGAGUAUGCCCUGAUUUAUUUUGCCUGUCCAGGGAACUGGCCAGAUUUUUUCUAAAACUCUGGAGGGCAGUCUUUGUGCUCAUGUUGCCUAUGGACAUGGCCUGAGAGACAAGCAUCUGACUCUAUUUUAGAGGCAGUUCUAAUUCUCCUGGGCUACUGGAGAGUCUCAACAGAAAAUGUUUUAGUAUAUAUGAGCACAUGCAUAUCUGAAUAUGUGUACAUAUGCAUCUGCUUUAUGUGUAUACAUGUGUUUAUGCAUGUGGACAUAUUAGCUGAUGUAAUGCAAUACCUAAAAACAUCACAUACAAAAAAAAUCAAAUUGGACUACUCCCUAUCAAAAUAAUGCCAAUAAAGUCAGGUAGAUAAAUGUGUUUUGCUUUUGCUUUUUAAGUUCCAACAUUGAACUGCAUAAUAUUAUACAUUUUCAUCUUCAUCCUGAAGUAUUUCAUAACAUCUUGUAAAAAAAAGUUGUUUCCUUCAGUUCUUCAGUCUUGCAAAGUUCUCACUCUCUUUGCUACUAUAAUCUGGGACAAUUUAAACAUUUAACAUUCAAAUUCUCAAAGAGAUCUCCCUACUAACCACAUUGGAAGCAGUAUAGAGGGUCCUAAACAGUGAACAAAAGGACAUGAGCUUAAGCCAGAGUUCUACCCAAUAUGAAUUUAGGCAGGAUCAUUCAUACCUCUGAAUCUAUUUCCUCAUCUGUAAAAUAGGGUUAAUAAUCCUUGACCCAUCUUUCACGUAGGAGUUUAAAAAUAGCAUCAGGAGAUGGGCUUUAUAAACUUUGAAGCACUAAGCAGAGGAACAAGUAAUUAUUGUUAAAACUACAAUUGAUAAAGUAGGUCUCAUCCCAAAGAAGGACUCCAGUGAAAAGUUCUUUGGUACAGUGAGACAAGAAGGAAAUUAUAGUAUUCCAACAUACACCUGUCCUAUGACUUGAUUCAUGAACGUCAGGGUGGAAAUUUAAAAGAUUUCCCUAAAUUUCCAUUAGAAUUACAUUGGCUUCCAAGGAGCUAAAAGUCAAGAAAUAACAAAAAAAAUUAUUCUAAUUUGUUCUGAAAUGUGGGUUUUCAAUCAUCAUGAUUCCUUAAAUUAGAAUGGAUCUGCAAAAAUAGAUACACGCAAACAUUUUUUCCAAAAUUUUUCAUGUAAGAGUAUGCAGCCUGCUAUGUAAUGUCACACAUUAAAAUAACAUUGGCAUAGAAUGGGAGUAAAAUCCUUUCUCUGGAAAUAAGCAUAUGUUAUUAAAAUUAUAUAUAAUAUGUAGCCAACUACUAGAAAAGAAUCCACACUGCAGUGUUUAAGUUUAGGAUCAACUUGGAGCGCUGUGACACUGAGCAAAAAGCAUAGGACUAGGAGGCAAGAGACUCGGGUUCUACUUCCAGACAUUCCACUGAUUAACCUGGUGACUUGAGUAAGGCAUUGACUUCCACACACCUUAACUCUUUCAUGUGUAAAAUAGAUUGACACCACAUGCCUACUUGCCUGUUUCAUAGGGUUCAUAGGAGGAUCAAAUGAAAGUAUCUGUGAAAAUAUCUCUGUAAAAUUAUGAAAUGGCAUAAAGAAAUACAGAAUUAAGAAAAUGAGCUUUAGGAGUUCCCAUCGUGGCUCAGUGGUAAUGAACCCAACUAGUAUCCAUGAGGAUGUGGGUUCAAUCCCUGGCCCGGCUCAGCGAGUUAAGGAUCUGGCAUUGCUGUGAGCUGUGGUGUAGGUUGCAGAUGUGGCUCAGAUCUGGUGUUGCUGUGGCUGUGGUGUAGGCUGGCAGCUGCAGCUCCAAUUCAAUCCCUUGCCUGGGAACUUCCAUAUGCUGUGGGUGUGGCCCUAAAAAGAAAGAAAAUACCUAGGAAUAAGCCUACCUAAAGAGACAAAAGACCUGUACUCUGAAAACUAUAAGACACUGUUGAAAGAAAUCAAAGAUGACACAAACAGAUGGAAAGAUAUACUAUGCUCUUGGAUUAGAAGAAACAAUAUUGUCAAAAUGACUAUAUUACCCAAGGCAAUCUAUAGAUUCAAUGCAAUCCCUAUCAAAUUAUCAAAGACAUUCUUCACAGAACUAGAACAGAAUAUUUUAAAAUUUGUAUGGAAACACAAGAGACCCUGAAUAGCCAAGGCAAUGUUGAAAAAGAAAAAUGAAAACCGAGGAAUCAAGCUUCCUGACUUUAGACAAUACUACAAAGCUACAGUCAUCAAAAUGAUAUGGUACUGGCACAAAAACCAGAAAUAUAGAUCAAUGGAACAAGAUAGAAAACCCAGAAAUAAACCCAAGCACCUAUAGUCAACUAAUCUAUGACAAAGGAAGAAAGAACAUAGAGUGGAAUAAAUAUAGUCUCUUCAAUUAAUGGUGCUGGGAAAACAGGAAAGCUACAUGUAAAAGAAUGAAAGUAGAACACUAAUAAUGCCAUAUACAAAAAUAAACUCAAAAUGGAUUAAAGACCUACAUAAAAGGUCAGAUACUAUAAAACUCCUAGAGGAAAACAUAGGCAGAAUGCUCUUUGACAGAAAUCACAGCAACAUCUUGUUUUAUCCACCUCCUAGAAUAAUGAAAAUAAAGACACAAAUAAACCAAUGAGACCUGAUUAAACUCAAAAACAUUUGCACAGCAAAGGAAAUCAUUAAAAAAAUGAAAAGACAGCCCACAGAAUGGGAGAAAAUCUUUGCCAACAAUGCAAAAGACAAGGGCCUAAUCUCCAAAAUAUACAAACAACUCAUGCAACUCAACAACAAAAAACCAAACAACCCAAUUGAAAAAUGGGCAGCAAACCUAAACAGAAAUUUCUCCAAAGAAGACAUAUAGACAUAUGAAAAAAUGCUCAGCAUCACUCAUUAUUAGAGAAAUGCAAAUCAAAACUACAAUAAGCUACCACCUCACAUCAGUCAGAAUGGCCAUCACUAACAAGUCAACAAAUAACAAAUGCUGGAGAGGGUGUGGAGAUAAAGGUACCCUCCUUCACUGUUGGUGGGAAUAUAAACUGACACAACCACUAUGGAAAACAGUAUGGAGGUACCUCAGAAAACUAAAUAUAGAACUACCAUAUGAUCC
rnacentral:lncRNA from 1 species